rnacentral:lncRNA from 1 species
UGAAAUGCUUUGUUACUGCUAGGAUAAAUUCCAAUUUCACCGGCAGAAUGCUAAUGAUCUGGUUAUUGAAGAGGUCUUAAACUGCAGCACAAGCAGAACUAAUCGGACACCACUUUGGUAAUUCCUGUGUCUGACAAAUCUAAGCAACAUUCUUCUUCCAUCGAGACCAACUAGGAAAAUAAGGACCCAGGAGACGAACACAACUCAAUCCAUUUCAGUCUGAAAGGAUAAAUCCCCUCAAUGACUAUAAUCAGGGAAUUGGGAAACAAUCUUGGCAUCUCUGAUCUUGCUAGGCUGGAAAAAUGUUCUUCGGAUGCCAGACAAUUUAAGUAUUGGAAGCUAAAUGCAAAUAAUUCACAUGAGAUAACUUUCUAACCCCUGUAAGAAAGAUUUGCAGUUAAAUGAAGCUGGGAGAUCUCACCUUAACACGAUGAGUUGAACUCUUGCUGCCUUUACUCUCUUUUUGCCAUGCCCUGGGGUCUUGAGGCAAAGGUGCCAUUGAACUUCAUACUGAAAGAGACACACAAGGAGUUGCAAAGGCAUCAAAGAUUUAAGAUGCCUUCUAUCCAUUUGGAAGUAGGGCUAAAACCACAUCAAAUAUGGAUCGAAUAUCAGUAUAUCCAUAUCCAUAUUUGUUUUGAAUAUGGAUAUGGAUAUUAUUCUGAUGAAAAAAUUUAUAUUCAUAUUUAUUUUAAAUGGAUAUGGAACUAAUUUGAAUACUGAAAAUAUAGAUAUAAUUAUGGAUAUAACUUAGAUAAUCAAACUUUAUGACUACAAAAUCAAAGAUAUUAUUAAAUGGAUGAUAAAUCAAGUUAAUAAUAUGUUUAUAUAGUUAUAUAUUUCUCUUACAAAUUAAUAAAUGCUAUAUAAAAUUAUAUAUGGUUACAUGUAGAUUCAGAUAUUCGGAUACAGAUCGGAUAGCUAUCUAUCCAUUUUCAUAUUUAUUUUUUUCGACAGAUAAGGAUACGGAUAUGGAUAUUAGUAUAAUCCUCAAAUAUUUGUCCAUAUUCAAAUUGAUUCGGAUACGAAAAUGGAUUCAGACGGAAAAUAUCCAUGCCACUUUCACCCUUAUUUGGUGGAGGCUCCAUAUUUGCAUCAGACAAAGUUUUGCAAUAAUGGAGACUAAUAUUGCUUCAACUAUGUUCUUCAGUAUUUAUCAUUCAAGCAUUCACUCCUUGCACUACUUGUACUCUUCAACACAACAUGGUGCUAAAUUAAUCUUAUGUAGGCUCAACAAUCAUCCUAGCAUCAAAGGUUACAUAUACUAUUACACACUACCAUCCGUUCCAUGCUCUCUGUGGAAAAUUGCUGAAGAAUCAACACUUAGAGAAUGAAAUCAGCAAUAACAUGUUAAAUAGUUAAAAUAUAGGCGACCCAAAUGAUGCAAACAUAUUACCUCAUAGAUGCAUUAAUUAACUCUGCCAUGACACAUGAUAUAAAAGCAUAAGCUAAUGUAUACAUAUGCUCUACAUCCGCCAUCCCUGCAGCUUUGUGAAUGUUUCAUUACAUUCACACUUUGAAACCAGAAUAGUUAAUCUUGUAGUGAUUUUAAAUGUCGACAUCUUAUGUAUAUGGAGGCCUACUUUGACUAUAGAAUUUCAUUAUUUUCCCUUCAAUUGAGACUGGUGGAUAUUCGUUUGGUUGCUUGGAAGAGAGGGUUAUAUGAUUUCUGUGGUUGAGUUCUAGAAUCCACUUCCAUACAUGGUACAAGACCUUGGCCAGUUUCUGAACCCAAAACCAUAGGACAAAAAAGCCUUCCUACUAGGGGUGAAAGUGAUAUGGAUAUUAUUCGUCCGGAUUCGUUUUCGUAUCCGAAUUAAUCCGGAUAUGGAUAGAAAUUUGAAGAUCCGACUAAUAUCCGUAUCCGUAUCCAUAUCCGUCAAAGAAAAAUGAAUAUGGAUAUGGAUAGGCAAAUAUCCAAUCCAUAUCCGAAUAUUCAAAUUUAUAUAUAAUUCUAUAUAAUUUUAUAUAGUACUUAAUAAUUUUAAAAAAAAUAUACAACCAUAUAAACAUAUUAUUAACUCAAUUUAUCAUCUAUCUAGUAAUAUCUUUGAUUUUAUAAUCAUAAAGUUUAAUUAUCCGAAUUAUAUUCAUAAUUAUAUUGAUACUUUCAAUAUCCGAUUAAUUUUUGUAUUUAUUUAAAAUAAAUAUAGAUAUUAAUUUUUACAUCCAAAUAAUAUCCGUAUUUGUAUCUGUAUCUGUCAGAUAAUAUAAAUAUGGAUAUGAAUAUAACGAUAUCCGAUCCGUGUCCGAUCUAAUUUCAGCCCUACUUCCUACCAGCCCCAUUUGAAACAAAACUAAGAAACAGAAAAGGUAAUGAAACAAGUUCGGAGGCUUUGAAGCUCGGCAAAAGAUGAUUGGGUUUUAGGAGCUAGUCGACGCUCGUUUAUCCACUGUUUUUUUCCCCAGAAAUCUUCAGUGGCUACAUUGGAUGCGAUUUUACGACCUGCUUAUGUAUUAUUUAGGACAAAUUAGUACAGAAAUCUCAGAUUAUUAUCACCUGCGGAUUGGCAAUGAUGAUUCAGUUUAAAAAUGCCUUAAUUGAAUGAAAGAAAUGGGGAUUUACAAAAUUUUGUCAUUUCCAUUGGGCAGUCAAGAUUAGGGCCAUGAGUUAUCGAAGAUAUUUGCUAAUUUAUUAAUAAACGGUCGUAAUGUAAAACAACAUAACCCAAGUAAUCAUCAGAAUCAAACUUAUAAAAACUGAUUGAUGCAAUUGAAAUCAACUCGAAAAAGGAGGAACAUACAUCAAAAAAAAUGAGCAGAAGAUUGCAGAUCUACCGUUUCGGAUCCAUUCAUUGAGACAGCUACAAAGGUUAGGGUUUAUGAGAAAUUGAGGAGAGUUUGGGGUACAGAUCGGUUACGCGCUUCCGAGUAGGGACGAAGCCUUGGCUGGCAUCGGAGAUGGCCAUAGAUUUGGGAUACAUGGAGAGCUUCGGUGGUCGCUGCCAUGGAUGCGUUUCGAGACGGAGGAGGAGAAGAAGUAGAAACAGGAGACCGUGAGCCUGACGAAUUUUAGGAGAAAUUAUUGCAUGCACCCGGUGCAAGUUAACCAGCGCAUAUCCGGAGCGUAUGCACGGUGGACAGCGCGCAAUCCCGAAUUGGUGAAAAUGCAGGGGCUAGCGGUCCAGUUACACCUCGUGCAUCAAUGCCCAGACUAAUUUUAGAGAUAGCAAUUUUGAUCGAUGUCACAGAUGUCCA